rnacentral:pre_miRNA from 2 species
CUGGGCCCCUGUGGGCAUCUUACCGGACAGUGCUGGAUUUCUCGGCUCGACUCUAACACUGUCUGGUAACGAUGUUCAAAGGUGACCCAC